AAUUUUACACUAUAAAUUGUCACAAUUUCUACACUUUUAGGGGACGGCUCUCACUACCGACAAUUUCGUGACCCUUCUUUUUUGAACAUUCUUUCUACUCUGUAAAUAAACCCUUUCACGUAACAAUAACAACUAACAAUUAACCCUUAUUUUCUCGAUACUCUUUCUGCACAACAAGUAACCCUUAUUUUUUCUCAUUCUCACAAAAAAUCACUUUUUUCAAUUACACCAAACUUCAUGGAGCCUGCAAGAAAAGAUUCUAGCACCAACAUUCAGAAUAAGCCUUUAUUAUAAACCAUCACAGCACAAUACAAAGGUUGCAACACCAUAUAACAUAAUUUGUGCAAAAUUUUGUUUUUUUCUUUCUUUGGUUGUUGUUCUGAGUUACAGGAAACAAGAAGAAGGAGAAUCCAUAUCACCACCGCGUGGAGUUGUCCCGAUCGCCCCUCGUACAUCGAAGGCUCAGCACGGACAAAAGAUCUCCGCCGUGGAUCCACCAUUCAGCUCCGCCGUUUCCGGCCCAGUCAACGCCGACGACUACACCACCGCCACGCAUCUACGAUGGAAACACGGUAUGUCGUCUUUCGAUGUCGAUUUGUUUUUUGACUGAUAUCUAUUUCGGGUUCUUGUUGAAGAUAGAUAGACAGAUAUGGAGGGAAGAUCAUUAUGGUUCUGCCCUUUGUAGUAAGAGAAAUUGAUUUUGGUGAAAAAGAAAUUGAGGAAGGAGAGGUCAAGAAUUCACGCCUACGCACCAACAGCCGGAAUCGCAACAACCGUGAAUCUGACAGCACCGACAACCUCCGGCCGAUACGCUCAUCGCCCAGCCGCCGCAUCCAAACCGGAACCACCUACAGAUUCCGGCGCCUCAUCAUCAGCAUCGCACCAACAACCCUCCACCGACGCAGUGCCACGAACAUACGGUCGAUUAAUCUCUUCUAAUCACUGUUGAUUUCUUGUUCUCUAUGAUUUUGUUUGUUUGUUUGAUUUAGAUUGAGGCUUUGGGAAUUGAAAGAAGAGGAUUUUUUUUGGCUCUGUGAGAGAAAAGAGGAAGGCAAGCGUGAAUGAGAAAGAAGUCCCGUCAGAUUUUAUUUCCAUCAUAAUUUGGUAUAUUUUUUUUUCGUUUUUGGUUUCUAAUUAUUUAAUUUUGAUAAGUGAUACUUUUUCCAUGAACCCUUGAGAUUAGAAAUUAGAGUUAUAUUGGUUUAUUAUUUCUAUUUAAUAAUUGUGCCAUUUUUUUUUCCUAUUUUAGCGUACUGUUACGAUUACAUGUGUAUAACAAACCCAUUUGUUUGUUUUUACAUUAGGUGUUAGAUCUUUAGCAUUUUAAAACAAGACAUGUUCUUCUUGUUAACAAAAUGUGGUACAUUUUAUAGAUUAGAAUUUUAAUUCAAUAUUUACUAUUUCAUUAUACUAAAAAACAUCAUGUAUUAAAUAAACAAAUUGUUAUCUUAGAGUUUAGUUUUUUUUCCUUAUUACUAAAAACAUCUAACCCAUUCAAAAAACACUAAAAAUUUAACUUCACAUAUAAUUCAAUUGUUAGAUUUAUUCUUGAUAAUAUUUAUUCAUAUUUUUGUCAUUAUUCAUAAUUUUAUAUAUUCAUACUAUCAUUUUCUUGUUUAUUGCGAGGUACGUUUGAACUGCUUAUCUAUUCUCGGGGUAUUCGCAAAUUCAUCCUCACUCUCACCACGAGAUCUCCGAUAAUCCAGAUCUAACGUCCAAGAGCUGCACCUCUACCAUGCACCUUCACAAGGGAGCCACACAAGAUCUCAAGGUUAACCAAAAUCCUUCACCCAUGCGCCGUGCCAAUCGAAAAGCUAAGUUCCUGAAUUCAUAUUUUAUUUGAUAUCAUUUUAUUUUGCCUCUUUUAAUUAAAAUAGGGUUAGCUUCAAUCGCCAAUGAAUUGGUAAUACACUCACAUUUUUCUGCCGUUGCCUUUGCCAUUUUUCAGGAUUAACCCCGAGACUUCCUCCGACUGUCAACCAUGUCAGAUCAAAUUCAAAGCUAAGUGCCUUUUAUUUAUUUAUUUUAAUUCCUUUUAUCUUUUUAUUUUUAGGGUUAGUAAUGUUUGCCUCCGAACCGAUAAUGCGCUCACCCUAUUUUUGUUUUUCACCUUUUCAGGGUUUGCCAAUUGCCAAAGCCUCGAGUAUCGGUAACCCUAAACCCUGCUUUAUUAUUACUUGUGUCAAACCCUGAUUAAGGGAUCCACUGGUUUCAUUGUCCCCUCUCCCAUAUUACCGUUGUUUUUGCCUUACAUUAUCUGCGUGGCUAGUAAUUUAGGGAGUGAUAACCUCGAAUUGAACCUAGAAUGACUAAUUACAAGAUAAAUAACUGAAUCAAAUCACGUGAUUGGUGCACACACGCACGCUUUUGGGUAACCUCUCUGUUGCCUUGUUGCCUGUUGCCUGUUGCCUUUGUGUUUUUUGCAGAAUAAGCCAUGUCCCUCGAAUUUGAGGAUACCUCAGCCAUGCUGCCUCGAUAAUUAAAGGUCAUACGACCCUAAAUGAUGCUGCCUUCGAUACACAAAUAUGACCUCGACCCUCGGAAGUUGCCUACGGAAAAAGGCUGAGGUAUCUUCUGGCUGCCUACGAAAAGGCUUAUUCUGAUCCUUCCCCUUAGACUACCUGCCCCUCUAUGGCAUGGGUCAGUCUUUGGGCGAACGAUAACUCGACGACCCUUCAACCUCCAAACGAAAGGCUUCCUGCCCUCUUAUGGCAAGGAUUGACCCUUUCAUUCUGAAAGGCUAAAAAGAGACCUAUCAUCUGAGUUUAAGGUAAUUGCCCCUAAUUGCCUUGCAAUGCUCAAUUUUCAUAUUCUUUCUCACAAUUCUUCAAAAACUGGCUACGCUCAUUUACGAGCUAAAGUCCACUUUUUUUCUUUCAUCUACUUUUUCUAAAGACAAACGAGCAAGCAAAGCAAUUAAGAGCCCAUGGAAAACCAUGGAUGCAAAGGGUGCCUUACACCUUCCCUUUGCAUAAAUUACCCCCCGAACUCAGAUUUCUUUAAAAGGUUUUUUUUGUUUCUUUUUGCCUUUCUGAUUUAGUUUGGAUAAAAUAAAAGUCGGUGGCGACUCAUGCUUAACCGCGGCAUUUCGAUCGAUAUAAAAGUCAGUUCACCGUAUUACAGAACUGGCGACUCUGCUGGGGAUAAAUUUCGAUAAAAGAGGGGUUACCUUAAAAGUUUAGGAUUCACCUUAAAUGUUUUCUAUUGUUUGCUUUGUUUGCUUUAAUUUUGCAGGGCUGUUUUGGGUAUUUUGCUGUGUGAAAGAUCCUAACCCGGAUCUGAGUACCUUAGGUAUAUGGCAUGAGAUCAAGGAGACUGCACAGCGUAUACUGAUGUGGUUGAUCUGAUGGCCAUCGUUAGUGUGACACAUUGGUUUGUCCUGGUGUUCCUUGGGAUCCGACCUGAGGAAAUGCUUGGCUGCCGCGUGGUGUCAUUAAGCACUAAUUCGCCCUUAGAACCUUAGUCGAACUUGACUUUAGCCUGUUAGAAAGUAGCGAGAUGGCUGGCUUUGGUUCCGACUGAAGUUGGUUGAUACUCGAAGCUACACUCAUAUGGACUGGACUUUCAGGACCUUUUCGGUUGGCGAUUCGAUUGCCGAACUGAGAUAAGCGCCUUCGAGAAAGGUCAAUGAUAUGAGCUCCCUAGAACCCGAUCUUUAUAUAGGACAGGUUUGAACCAACUAAACUUCAGGGGGAGGGUAUAUACCUAUAGACCACGUGCAAGCCUAACCAUAAGGCAAAAUUGUGUGACUUGUGUGACUUGUUUGCGUUUGCUACUAACCUUUGUUUCAUCGCAGGUUUUUGUUAAAAGGACUUGUUUGUCCUUACUACCCCACACUAUGCCUAAUGAACUGCAUUCGCAUAACAUCAUGACAUCAUAAGCAUAACAUGAUUUAACUAACCCUUUUAAGGAUCUUAGGAAUUUAGGGCGCACAAUUUCAGGUGCCCUUAUCAAAGGUUGAUUUCCUAAUCAAGGGGCAAGAGGAUUUAUUUUUCUCUAGCCGUAUACCUUCCAAUUCAAAGACACGGUACCUAAUCAAGGGGCAAGAGGAUUUAUUUUCCUCUAGCCAUGUGCUUUCAAAUUCAGAAGUAUCCCGAAUCAGAGGCGAUGACCCACUCGAUAUGGUGAGCUUGAUUCUCAAAGAAAGACGUUCAAAGACAAAAUUCAGAAUUCUUCAGACAAAGACGCGACCAAAUCAUUUUUUAAUGUUGCUAACUAAAUUCCUAUAGAUCCUUCAAAACAUUGCAUUUGCAUCCAUAACAUCACAUAACAGGUUUCUUACAAUAGGUCUCUCAUCCUUCCUCGCUGUUUAUUUCAGCAUAAUGGAUCUCGAACAAUCUGUCAAAAAUCUUCAAGCUCAGAAUAACCAAAUAAUUUUUCACUUGGCCAAGGGGCAAGAAGAAUUGAAGCCACUUCUGAUCGAGAAAGAGAAAAAUCAAUAUAAGCAUCAAGGUGGUCAAGAUAAUCAAAGAUCCAAGCCUAAGCGAUCAUUUUCUCUGUUAUCCAUGCCGUUGUCUCAAGUUCCGCAACAACUGCUCAAUCAGAACUUGAUAACUCUAUUGCCUCCAUAUUCAUUUCCUACCAACCCCACUCCUGGGUAUAAGUACCAUGCGAGAUGCGCUUAUCAUUCAAAUAGUCCUGGUCAUGAUACAAAGGAUUGUUGGCAAUUGAAGCACAAGAUUCAAGACUUAAUCGAUGAAAAGAUCAUUGACUUCAAUUCACCUGAGGAACUCCACUUGACUAAUGUUGUGCACAAUCGGAAAGGUCGCAAUGAACAUAACCAAACUGUGGGGACAAUUGUGAUCUCUACACCAGUUCCACAACAAAGACGCAAGUCAGAUGUACCUAAGCGUCAAUUCACAAAGAUCAAUAUGUCAUUGGCUCAAGCAUUACAACACCUACUAAAGUCGGAGUUGAUCACUUUAAAGGACCCCCCUAAGAAUCCUAGUACUUCUGCUCGUAGCUAUAAUCCUAAUGUGAGGUGUGCAUAUCACUCUGAUAGUCCUGGUCAUGAUACAAAUAGCUGCUGGUCAUUGAAAAACAAGAUUCAAGACAUAAUCGAUGCUGGAGAAAUUGAAUUCAACCAUCCGAGAACUCCUGUGGUGAUCACCGCUCCUAUGCCUAAUCACGACAAGACUGAUUAAUGUCUAAGUGGAUGAACUUUUAAUCAUUAGAUUUACUUUCAUGCGCAAAUUUUAUUCUGUUUGUUUAAACAUUCGAAUCAUGAUAGACAUUAUCUGUUUUAAUAAUCAUUAUCAGUGCAUUGCAUAUGUUUGUCUUGGAUACAUUAUUUCGUUAUCACUCAUUUUAAAUUGCGUAUUUACUUUGCAUAUGUUUUGUGUUUAUUCAACUCCUGCUAAGCUGUAAGCCUUUUGAGGGAGGAUGACGAAAACGAUACCGCAAUCUCAUACAGUAUGCUUUUGGACGGACUAUGUUGACGAUGUACAGGCAUUGUUUCAAUUCCUAAACAGUGGAGAUAUAAGGAUGUUAAUCCCUCGUCAACCUCUUUUGAGCCUAAGAAGAAGAAGUUUCUUUCUUGUACUAAAUAAAACCCUUGAUUAUAACCUGGGGCAGGGUAGUUCUCAGUUAAUUUGCUGUGCGUUCUAUUUUAAGAGAAUCAUUCAGUACACCUUUCAACAAAGGUUUCAAUCACAAGCGUUCAUCCGCACACAUCAAAGAAGUGUUGGAGAUGUCAAUCAAAAGCCAAUGAUGGUUCACCAAUCAUUAAGCAAGGCAGUCAAUAUCUUUCAAAAAAAAAAUGAAAAAACAUAUAUACAAAGAAAAACCUGCUAAGUCAAAAAUCAAAAAGGUGACUUAGGCAAAAAUCAAGGCAUCCCGCUGACUGUAAUCUAAAAAGAAAAAAAAAAAAACAGUUCAGGCAAAAAUUAGGGAUAUCAAAAGGAUGAAAACAGAGAAGUCAAUAAGUUCCUGAACAACACAAUGUUGUAACUACCAAAAGGAAGAAGUGACUGCCAUCUCAAAAGUUAUCUUUGCUUGUGAACUAUCAUCAUUAUCAAAGGUGCAAAUCCAAAAGUCUCUUGGAACCUGAAUGCAUAAGUUUGAUUUAGCUGAGCUUAGGACUGAAGAUCAUCACGAAGAGGGGUGGGUACAAUAAACUUUGAGCCAUUAUCCUUUGUUUCUUAAAACCGUGAACCAAGCCACGUUACAACCCUUGAAAGUCCUAAUUGAAGCAUGGUUAGUUCGAAAGCGUACUGUCACCAAAAGGGUAUCCUGACUCCUUAAGGUUUACCAAAAAUGCUGAGUUGAUAUUUCUUUUUUACAAACAUCACAUUGUUACAAAUAUCAUGCUUUUACAAAUGUCAUGCUUUAUUACAUCCUGUUUUAAAUGUUUCAAAAAAACUCAAGACAAACGUAUGCAUUGCAUCUCACGAAUUCAUUAUUAAACAUAUUCUGCUACAUAAUUUCAAAAGUUAGCAUCAGAAAAAACUUGCACAGGGUACAACUAAUGACUGAAAGUUAUCCCGAUAGACAAAAUUACUCCGAGAAGCGAUGUCUCUACGUAUACAAGGGGCAUGGCCCGUUUUGCCCAAUCAAUCUGGGGCAAUCAAGUCAACAUUCCGAGAAUCUCUUAUGGAUACUCGAGCAAUCAGGGGCACGCAUCCAAGUAUACCUAAAGAUACCCCCAAUCAACAUGGGACAUUGUCUUGAGCCUAUGAGCGCUGGGAGCAUAUCACCCAUAGUGUACCUUUCAUAAAGUCCUCGCGAGGCGAAUCUUACCAAAGUUCCUGCUAACUGGGGCAAAUCUAUGCAAGUCCAGUUUGACAUCUUCGAUUAACACUCAUUGGCACGUUCUAAUCAACACAGAUCCAGGAAUGACAAGUGCUAUAAUACUGGGGGCAACUCUCAAGACACCCAUGUCCCCCCACAGAGCCAGGUUCAUAAAAUCACAUCCCCACAGAGCCAGGUUCAUAAAAUCACAUCCCCGCAGAGCCAGGUUCAUAAAAUCACAUCCCCAACAGAGUUGACAUCUUCAACACCACCGACACUUUGUUCUUCUCCAACAUGGCUUACUAAUAUCUUUCAUCCCCAGUCAGGAUCCAUCAAAUUACUAUUCAUCCCCAAGCAGAAGUCAUAAAUCCCCAGCUAAACAUCUUCAAGACAAGACCAGACGUCAAAAUCACAAAGACAUAGAGAUUUAUUUUCUCGAAAAAGACAACAUAAAUCAUAUUUCGCAUACCAUACGGCACAAACAUAUUCAUACAUCGCAUACAUCACCUCAUAAACAUACAAAGUCUCUCAUUUAUUUUGAGGUACUCAUUACAUAACACAUGCAUCAUGACAUAAGAAAACUAACCUUUACUUUUCAGGAUAUUGCUGUCUCUGUUUUCAAAGUUAAGUCGACACCUUUGACGGUUCCUUAACGACCUUUCAGAAUUAAGUCGAUACCUUUGACGGUUCCUUAAUAAUCCAUUUCAAAGUUAAGUCGACACCUUUGACGGUUCCUUAACGACCUUUUAGAAUUAAGUCGAUACCUUUGACGGUUCCUUAAUGAUCAACAUUUCAGAUUUAAGUCGAUACCUUUGACGGUUCCUUAAUGAUCUACCUUUGGAAGUUAAGUCGAUACCUUUGACGGUUCCUUAAUGAUCCACCUUCAUAUCUGAGUCGAUACCUUUGACGGUGCCUCAGUGAUAUGCUUCGAAUUUAAGUCGAUACCUUUGACGGUUCCUUAAUGAUCUAUCUCCAGAGUUAAGUCGACACCUUUGACGGUUCCUUAACAACCUUCCAGAAUUAAGUCGAUACCUUUGACGGUUCCUUAAUAAUCCAAUGCAGAGUUAAGUCGACACCUUUGACGGUUCCUUAACAACCUACUUCAAAUGUAAGUCGAUACCUUUGACGGUUCCUUAUACAAUCUACCUUCAUAUCUGAGUCGAUACCUUUGACGGUGCCUCAGUGAUAUGCUUCGAAUUUAAGUCGAUACCUUUGACGGUUCCUUAAAUAAUCCAAUUCAGACUUGAGUCAAUACCUCAGACGGUUCCUCAAAAAAUCAACAUUCAAAGGCUAGAAGCAGAAACCUCGCAAUAAUCAAUACCCCAACAGCUAUUGGAUGGCAUCUUCAAAGCCCAUCUCCGACAAAAGUCCCUGCCUUAGCUAGGGCAAAUUUCUUGGUAUUCUAGUGUUCAAUAAUCUUCCACCUUCAGAUACCGACUGACAUACAAACCACUCUACAUCUUCAGGUUUAAGAAAAUUGAACAGGGGCAGCUGUCAUACCCCAAAAUUUGCCCUCAUAUAUUUACAAACGUCAUUUUAUUUCGAAUAAAUGAAUUGACAUAGUUGGUAAGAAUUUGAGCGUGAAAAGCACAAUAGCGAGAGGUCCCUGGUUCGAAUCUCACUUCUAACAUUUUUCCCUUUUAUUUAAUUCUAACUUUAUUUCACUUUUGUUCAAAAAAUCACAAAAAAUGUUUUUAUAUAUUUAAGUAUUAUUUUCAUAUUCAUUGUUUAUUAAAAAUACCUUUUUUACUUUAUUCAUAUUUUAUUAAAAAAUUAAAAAUAUUUAAAAAAAAAAGAUUUUGCUUUUCUUUGCAUUUUAGAAUAAUAUUUAUAUUUUAGAAAACAAUCAAUUUAAAUUAGUUAGAAUAAUAAAAAUCUAAAUUUACGAAUAUUUUAUUAAUUACUUUGAUCCAUUUGAAUUUUAUCUUUCCAAUUUUGUUAACCUAAUUUUACACUAUAAAUUGUCACAAUUUCUACACUUUUAGGGGACGGCUCUCACUACCGACAAUUUCGUGACCCUUCUUUUUUGAACAUUCUUUCUACUCUGUAAAUAAACCCUUUCACGUAACAAUAACAACUAACAAUUAACCCUUAUUUUCUCGAUACUCUUUCUGCACAACAAGUAACCCUUAUUUUUUCUCAUUCUCACAAAAAAUCACCUUUUUCAAUUACACCAAACUUCAUGGAGCCUGCAAGAAAAGAUUCUAGCACCAACAUUCAGAAUAAGCCUUUAUUAUAAACCAUCACAGCACAAUACAAAGGUUGCAACACCAUAUAACAUAAUUUGUGCAAAAUUUUGUUUUUUUCUUUCUUUGGUUGUUGUUCUGAGUUACAGGAAACAAGAAGAAGGAGAAUCCAUAUCACCACCGCGUGGAGUUGUCCCGAUCGCCCCUCGUACAUCGAAGGCUCAGCACGGACAAAAGAUCUCCGCCGUGGAUCCACCAUUCAGCUCCGCCGUUUCCGGCCCAGUCAACGCCGACGACUACACCACCGCCACGCAUCUACGAUGGAAACACGGUAUGUCGUCUUUCGAUGUCGAUUUGUUUUUUGACUGAUAUCUAUUUCGGGUUCUUGUUGAAGAUAGAUAGACAGAUAUGGAGGGAAGAUCAUUAUGGUUCUGCCCUUUGUAGUAAGAGAAAUUGAUUUUGGUGAAAAAGAAAUUGAGGAAGGAGAGGUCAAGAAUUCACGCCUACGCACCAACAGCCGGAAUCGCAACAACCGUGAAUCUGACAGCACCGACAACCUCCGGCCGAUACGCUCAUCGCCCAGCCGCCGCAUCCAAACCGGAACCACCUACAGAUUCCGGCGCCUCAUCAUCAGCAUCGCACCAACAACCCUCCACCGACGCAGUGCCACGAACAUACGGUCGAUUAAUCUCUUCUAAUCACUGUUGAUUUCUUGUUCUCUAUGAUUUUGUUUGUUUGUUUGAUUUAGAUUGAGGCUUUGGGAAUUGAAAGAAGAGGAUUUUUUUUGGCUCUGUGAGAGAAAAGAGGAAGGCAAGCGUGAAUGAGAAAGAAGUCCCGUCAGAUUUUAUUUCCAUCAUAAUUUGGUACGUUUGAACUGCUUAUCUAUUCUCGGGGUAUUCGCAAAUUCAUCCUCACUCUCACCACGAGAUCUCCGAUAAUCCAGAUCUAACGUCCAAGAGCUGCACCUCUACCAUGCACCUUCACAAGGGAGCCACACAAGAUCUCAAGGUUAACCAAAAUCCUUCACCCAUGCGCCGUGCCAAUCGAAAAGCUAAGUUCCUGAAUUCAUAUUUUAUUUGAUAUCAUUUUAUUUUGCCUCUUUUAAUUAAAAUAGGGUUAGCUUCAAUCGCCAAUGAAUUGGUAAUACACUCACAUUUUUCUGCCGUUGCCUUUGCCAUUUUUCAGGAUUAACCCCGAGACUUCCUCCGACUGUCAACCAUGUCAGAUCAAAUUCAAAGCUAAGUGCCUUUUAUUUAUUUAUUUUAAUUCCUUUUAUCUUUUUAUUUUUAGGGUUAGUAAUGUUUGCCUCCGAACCGAUAAUGCGCUCACCCUAUUUUUGUUUUUCACCUUUUCAGGGUUUGCCAAUUGCCAAAGCCUCGAGUAUCGGUAACCCUAAACCCUGCUUUAUUAUUACUUGUGUCAAACCCUGAUUAAGGGAUCCACUGGUUUCAUUGUCCCCUCUCCCAUAUUACUGUUGUUUUUGCCUUACAUUAUCUGCGUGGCUAGUAAUUUAGGGAGUGAUAACCUCGAAUUGAACCUAGAAUGACUAAUUACAAGAUAAAUAACUGAAUCAAAUCACGUGAUUGGUGCACACACGCACGCUUUUGGGUAACCUCUCUGUUGCCUUGUUGCCUGUUGCCUGUUGCCUUUGUGUUUUUUGCAGAAUAAGCCAUGUCCCUCGAAUUUGAGGAUACCUCAGCCAUGCUGCCUCGAUAAUUAAAGGUCAUACGACCCUAAAUGAUGCUGCCUUCGAUACACAAAUAUGACCUCGACCCUCGGAAGUUGCCUACGGAAAAAGGCUGAGGUAUCUUCUGGCUGCCUACGAAAAGGCUUAUUCUGAUCCUUCCCCUUAGACUACCUGCCCCUCUAUGGCAUGGGUCAGUCUUUGGGCGAACGAUAACUCGACGACCCUUCAACCUCCAAACGAAAGGCUUCCUGCCCUCUUAUGGCAAGGAUUGACCCUUUCAUUCUGAAAGGCUAAAAAGAGACCUAUCAUCUGAGUUUAAGGUAAUUGCCCCUAAUUGCCUUGCAAUGCUCAAUUUUCAUAUUCUUUCUCACAAUUCUUCAAAAACUGGCUACGCUCAUUUACGAGCUAAAGUCCACUUUUUUUCUUUCAUCUACUUUUUCUAAAGACAAACGAGCAAGCAAAGCAAUUAAGAGCCCAUGGAAAACCAUGGAUGCAAAGGGUGCCUUACACCUUCCCUUUGCAUAAAUUACCCCCCGAACUCAGAUUUCUUUAAAAGGUUUUUUUUUGUUUCUUUUUGCCUUUCUGAUUUAGUUUGGAUAAAAUAAAAGUCGGUGGCGACUCAUGCUUAACCGCGACAUUUC